AUUGAACGCUGGCGGCAGGCCUAACACAUGCAAGUCGAGCGAGCGGCGGACGGGUGAGUAAUGUAUGGGGACUGCCCGAUAGAGGGGGAUAACUACUGGAAACGGUUGCUAAUACCGCAUACUAUCGGAUAACCCAUAUGGGAUUAGCUAGUAGGUGGGGUAAAGGCUCACCUAGGCGACGAUCUCUAGGUGUUCUGAGAGGCUUGUCAGCCACUGUGGUACUUAGACAGCGCCCAGAGUCCUACGGAGGCAGCAGUGGGGAAUAUUGCACAAUGGUCGCAAGCCUGAUGCAUCCAUGCCGCGUGUAUGAAGAAGGCCUUAGGGUUGUAAAGUACUUUCAGCGGGGAGGCGUUACCCGCAGAAGAAGCACCGGCUAACUCCGGGCCAGCCGCCGCGGUAAUUC
rnacentral:rRNA from 1 species